rnacentral:rRNA from 1 species
AUUGAACGCUGGCGGCAGGCCUAACACAUGCAAGUCGAGCGGAGCGGCUGACGGGCGAGUAAUGCCUAGGAAUCUGCCUGGUAGUGGGGGAUAACGUCCGGAAACGGGCGCUAAUACCGUACACUUUCAGACGAGCCUAGGCCGGAGUAGCUAGGUGGUGGGGUAAGGGCCUACCGAGGUGACGAUCCGUCACUGGUCUGAGAGGAUGAGCAGUCACACUGGCACUGAGACACGGUCCAGACUCCUACGGGAGGCAGCAGUGGGGAAUAUUGGACAAUGGGCGAAAGCCUGAUUCAGCCAUGCCGCGUGUGUGAAGAAGGUCUUCGGGUUGUAAAGCACUUUAAGUUAGGAGGCGUUACCAGCAGAAUAAGCACCGGCUAACUUCGUGCCAGCAGCCGCGGUAAUAC